rnacentral:rRNA from 1 species
CCUACGGGUGGCAGCAGUAGGGAAUUUUCGGCAAUGGGCGCAAGCCUGAACGAGCGAUGCCGCGUGAGUGAAGAAGGCUUUCGGGUCGUAAAGCUCUUUUCCCGGGGACAAAAGACAGCAUGAUGACAUGGGUGCUGGCUGAUGCUGCCCCCCCAGCAAGUCCCGGCGAACUACGUGGCAGCAGCCGCGGUAAUACGUAGGUGGCGAGCGUUAUCCGGAAUGAUUGGGAGUAAAGUGUGCGCAGGCGGGCCUGCACGUCUGGAGUGAAACGCAUGAGCUCAACUCGUGCGUGGCUUUUGAAACUGGAGGACUGGAGAGCAGGAGAGGGAGGUGGAAGUCCAUGUGUAGCGGUAAAAUGCGUAGAUAUAUGGAAGAACACCAGUGGCGAAGGCGGCCUCCUGGCCUGCUGCUGACGCUGAGGCACGAAAGCGUGGGGAGCAAACAGGAUUAGAUACCCGGGUAGUC